AGUGUACAGCAGAAUGAGCCUCCUGUCACCAGCCCAGAGCUCUCAGACAGAAUUGAGUUCCUGUACAGUAGGACUUUCCACUCAUGUCUGUGGUCUAGGAGGAGAUUGGGUUGGGCAAACACCAGGCACGAUGGAGCAACCAUUAACCCUGGAGUUGUGAAGACAGGACCACAAGCUGAGAGAGGGCAGCAAUGGAAACCCAGCCAAACUAUUAAUGGAAGGCUGGGUCCCAUUCUUUAUUAUCCUUCUGUGGUCUCGUCACCAGCAGGGUGAGCCAAAGCCGAGGGCAAGAACACGCUGGGUGACCUUCCACACCCCAAAUGCAAGAUCAAGUGCUGUGGAGAAGGAGAUAACAAGUUUUUAAUGUAAUAAAGAUCAACGUAUCAGUUAUUCUUUUUAUGGAUUAUGCCUUUGAUGUUGUAUCUGUAGAGUCAUCUUCAAACUGGAGAGCUGAAACCUAAUAUUUCUGGAGGCUGGAAGUCUGAGAUCCACAUGCUCCCAAAGGACCCACUUCCUAAAAUCAUUACUUUGGAGUCUAGGAUCUCAACAUAUGAACUUUGGGGGAUGGGGACAGAAACAUUCGGUCCAUUGCAGAGGAAGAGCCUGUGUUAAUAUGAAAGAGUCAGAAAAACUUCUUUGAAAAGCCAAUCCUUUGCUUUCUGAGGGUGAGUGAAGAUUAAGCAGAAGGAGCAGUUUAAGGCAGCAGGAAAUGCUAGGGUGAAGACUCUUGAAGGAAAAAAUGAAGGCCAGUCAGUGUGGCUGGAGUGAAAAAAUCCAGGAAGAUACUGCACAAGUUGACGCUAGUGAGGAGGCAUGGCCAUGGUGAGGGUUUUGGCCUUUAUUGUAAGGAUGAAGGGAAGACACUGAGAGGUUUAAGAAGGGGCAGAAUGGAACAGACAACAGGACUGUCAGGGAACAUCCAUUUUAACAAUAUCACCUUGCUGCCAUGUGGAGAAUUGAUUGAAAGAGGGCCACGGUGUGUGGGAGACUCACUGCGAGCACCUCACAUUAAUCCAGACAUGAUGGCAGCUUGAACUAGGAUAUUAGCUGAAGAAAGGGAGAAAAAUAGAUGACUUGAGUGAUGUAGAGAUAUAAAGGCCAUAGGAGCUGGUGAUUGAUUUCAUAUGAGCAGUGUGGCAUCACAGGCAUCUUCCAGGUUUAUGGCUGGAGCUCUGGAUGGACUGUGGUGCUGUUGAAGCCAGAACCAGACCACGUUUGUGGGAAAGACAAUAAAUCGAGCCAAUUAGGAUGGGGAGGGGUGUUCAAUAGUGCAGAGACAAACCUUGAUUGAGGAAAAUAUGAGAAGGCUACAUUUAGGAGGCAGGAUUUGAACCAGGCCUUCAAUACAUCCAGAAAUCAGAGCCAGGCAUAGUGGGGAAAUUGCAGGGGAAGUGAGGUUCCCAACAGAGGGAGCACCCAGAGCCUUAUGGGGGAUCUUGGCA
rnacentral:lncRNA from 1 species